rnacentral:piRNA from 1 species
GCAGUGUUCUGGAAUCCUACGUGAGAC